UAGGGAAUCUUCCACAAUGGACGCAAGUCUGAUGGAGCAACGCCGCGUGAGUGAAGAAGGUUUUCGGACCGUAAAGCUCUGGUGUUGGUGAAGAAGGAUAGAGGUAGUAACUGGCCUUUAUUUGACGGUAAUCAACCAGAAAGUCACGGCUAACUACGUGCCAGCAGCCGCGGUAAUCGUAGGUGGCAAGCGUUGUCCGGAUUUAUUGGGCGUAAAGCGAGCGCAGGCGGAAGAAUAAGUCUGAUGUGAAGGCCCUCGGCUUAACCGAGGAAUUGCAUCGGAAACUGUUUUCUUGAGUGCAGAAGAGGAGAGUAGAACUCCAUGUGUAGCGGUGGAAUGCGUAGAUAUAUGGAAGAAUACCAGUGGCGAAGGCGGCUCUCUGGUCUGCAACUGACGCUGAGGCUCGAAAGCAUGGGUAGCGAACAGGAUUAGAUACCCUGGUAGUCCAUGCCGUAAACGAUGAGUGCUAAGUGUUGGGAGGCUUCCGCCUCUCAGUGCUGCAGCUAACGUAUUAAGCACUCCGCCUGGGGGAGUACGACCGCAAGGUUGAAAC
rnacentral:rRNA from 1 species